GAUGAACGCUGGCGGCGUGCUUAACACAUGCAAGUCGAACGGAAAGGCUCCUGCUUGCAGGGGUACUCGAGUGGCGAACGGGUGAGUAACACGUGGGUGAUCUGCCCUGCACUUCGGGAUAGGCCUGGGAAACUGGGUCUAAUACCGGAUAGGACCACAUUUUGGAUGGUGUGGUGGAAAGUUUUUCGGUGUGGGAUGAGCUCGCGGCCUAUCAGCUUGUUGGUGGGGUAAUGGCCUACCAAGGCGUCGACGGGUAGCCGGCCUGAGAGGGUGUACGGCCACAUUGGGACUGAGAUACGGCCCAGACUCCUACGGGAGGCAGCAGUGGGGAAUAUUGCACAAUGGGCGCAAGCCUGAAGCAGCGACGCCGCGUGGGGGAUGACGGCCUUCGGGUUGUAAACUCCUUUCGCUAGGGACGAAGCGCAAGUGACGGUACCUGGAGAAGAAGCACCGGCUAACUACGUG
rnacentral:rRNA from 1 species